CCUACGGGAGGCUGCAGUGGGGAAUUUUGGACAAUGGGCGAAAGCCUGAUCCAGCCAUGCCGCGUGCAGGAUGAAGGCCUUCGGGUUGUAAACUGCUUUUGUACGGAACGAAAAGACUCCUUCUAAUAAAGGGGGUCCAUGACGGUACCGUAAGAAUAAGCACCGGCUAACUACGUGCCAGCAGCCGCGGUAAUACGUAGGGUGCAAGCGUUAAUCGGAAUUACUGGGCGUAAAGCGUGCGCAGGCGGUUAUAUAAGACAGAUGUGAAAUCCCCGGGCUCAACCUGGGAACUGCAUUUGUGACUGUAUAGCUAGAGUACGGCAGAGGGGGAUGGAAUUCCAAGUGGAGCGGUGAAAUGCGUAGAGAUUUGGAGGAACACCAGUGGCGAAGGCGGUUUACUGGGCCACAUCUGACGCUGAUGUACGAAAGCGUGGGGAGCAAACAGGAUUAGAUACCCUUGUAGUC
rnacentral:rRNA from 1 species